rnacentral:rRNA from 1 species
UUUGAUUUUCUUCGGAACUGAAGAUUUGGUGAUUGAGUGGCGGACGGGUGAGUAACGCGUGGGUAACCUGCCCUGUACAGGGGGAUAACAGUCAGAAAUGACUGCUAAUACCGCAUAAGACCACAGCACCGCAUGGUACCGUGUGAAAAACUCCGGUGGUAUGAGAUGGACCCGCGUCUGAUUAGCUAGUUGGUGAGGUAACGGCCCACCAAGGCGACGAUCCAUAGCCGACCUGAGAGGGUGACCGGCCACAUUGGGACUGAGACACGGCCCAAACUCC